ensembl:miRNA MIR200A microRNA 200a
GGGCCUCUGUGGACAUCUUACCGGACAGUGCUGGAUUUCUCGGCUCGACUCUAACACUGUCUGGUAACGAUGUUCAAAGGUGACCC